AAAUGCUGAAUUGAAUUCCUCUGUAGAAGCGACACUGGCAAUAACUUCAUGAGGCCAACCAGAAAACCAAACAGAUUCGAAGACAGCAGCGAUGCAGAAGAAUGAAACACUGGUUUGUAACAACUUGAAGACGAGUGGGGAAGAGACACCUGGAUGCCUAACUUAAAGAGAAAGCAUCCAAAUGAACCCUUUCCUCGCCUCAGGGCAACAGCUGUGAGAAAAAUGCCAAACAAAGGUAUAAUAUUUUUCCAAUACUUGCCUCUACG